CCCUUAGAUGUUCUGGGCCGCACGCGUGCUGCACUGAGUGGAUCAGCGGGUCAGGUUGCGCGAAAGUGUUUCCUAAUCUUGAAAUCCGCUCGUGAUGGGGAUUGACGGUUGCAAUUUUCCGUCAUGAACGAGGAAUACCUUGUAAGCGCGGGUCAUCAUCCCGCGCUGAAUACGUCCCUGCCCUUUGUACGCACCGCCCGUCGCUCCUACCGAUUGAGUGGUCCGGUGAGGCUUUGGGAUCUGAGCGGAAAGAGCGUUUCGCUGUUUCUGCUCGGAAAACUCAGUCGAACCUUAUCAUUUAGAGGAAGGAGAAGUCGUAACA
rnacentral:rRNA from 1 species